UACGGAGGGUGCAAACGUUGCUCGGAAUCAUUGGGCGUAAGGCGCACGUAGGCGGCCGAUUAAGUCGGGUGUGAAAGCCCCGGGCUCAACCCGGGAAGUGCAUACGAAACUGGUCGGCUUGAAUAUGGAAGAGGGUCGCGGAAUUCCCGGUGUAGAGGUGAAAUUCGUAGAUAUCGGGAGGAACACCAGUGGCGAAGGCGGCGACCUGGGCCAAUAUUGACGCUGAGGUGCGAAAGCGUGGGGAGCAAACAGG
rnacentral:rRNA from 1 species